AUAAAUUAAUAAAGUCUGGCCAUAUUUGGCCAUAUUUGGCCAGACUUUAUUAAUUUAUGU
rnacentral:precursor_RNA from 1 species